GAUGAACGCUGGCGGCGUGCCUAAUACAUGCAAGUCGAGCGAACAGACGAGGAGCUUGCUCCUCUGACGUUAGCGGCGGACGGGUGAGUAACACGUGGAUAACCUACCUAUAAGACUGGGAUAACUUCGGGAAACCGGAGCUAAUACCGGAUAAUAUAUUGAACCGCAUGGUUCAAUAGUGAAAGACGGUUUUGCUGUCACUUAUAGAUGGAUCAGCGCCGCAUUAGCUAGUUGGUAAGGUAACGGCUUACCAAGGCGACGAUGCGUAGCCGCCCUGAGAGGGUGAUCGGCCACACUGGAACUGAGACACGGUCCAGACUCCUACGGGAGGCAGCAGUAGGGAAUCUUCCGCAAUGGGCGAAAGCCUGACGGAGCAACGCCGCGUGAGUGAUGAAGGUCUUCGGAUCGUAAAACUCUGUUAUUAGGGAAGAACAAAUGUGUAAGUAACUAUGCACGUCUUGACGGUACCUAAUCAGAAAGCCACGGCUAACUACGUG
rnacentral:rRNA from 1 species